ensembl:snoRNA small nucleolar RNA, H/ACA box 21
CCCCUUCUGAGAAGCACUUGCUGGGUCUGUGGUCAGUGACUCAGUGAGUUGUCGUGGAAGGGCAUAAAAAAGGCAUCGCUUUUGGGUGAGGUGGCGGCAUGUGCUGUUAACUUCAAUGAGUGGUGUGACAGUG